UUUUUAGCUAGAGUAUGAUAGAGGAAAGCAGAAUUUUUAGUGUAGAGGUGAAAUUCGUAGAUAUUAGAAAGAAUACCAAUUGCGAAGGCAGCUUUCUGGAUCAUUACUGACACUGAGGAACGAAAGCAUGGGUAGCGAAGAGGAUUAGAUACCCUCGUAGUCCAUGCCGUAAACGAUGUGUGUUAGACGUUGGAAAUUUAUUUUCUGUGUCGCAGCGAAAGCAAUAAACACACCGCCUGGGGAGUACGACCGCAAGGUUAAAACUCAAAUGAAUUGACGGGGACCCGCACAAGUAGUGGAGCAUGUGGUUUAAUUCGAAGAUACGCGCAGAACCUUACCAACACUUGACAUGUUCGUCGCGACUUUAAGAGAUUAAAGUUUUCGGUUCGGCCGGACGAAACACAGGUGCUGCAUGGCUGUCGUCAGCUCGUGUCGUGAGAUGUUGGGUUAAGUCCCGCAACGAGCGCAACCCUCACUUUUAGUUGCCAUCAUUUAGUUGGGCACUCUGAAAGAACUGCCAGUGAUAAGCUGGAGGAAGGUGGGGAUGACGUCAAGUCCUCAUGGCCCUUACGUGUUGGGCUACACACGUGCUACAAUGGCAUUUACAAUAGGAAGCAAGACGGCGACGUUUAGCAAAUCCUAAAAAAAUGCCUCAGUUCGGAUUGUACUCUGCAACUCGAGUACAUGAAGCUGGAAUUACUAGUAAUCGCGGAUCAGCGCGCCGCGGUGAAUACGUUCCCGGGUCUUGUACACACCGCCCGUCACACCAUGGGAGUUGGUUCUACCUUAAGGCAAAGUUUAAUACCUUUGACCACGGUAUAGUCAGCGACUGGGGUGAAGUCGUAACAAGGUAGCCGUAGGGGAACCUGCGGCUG
rnacentral:rRNA from 1 species